AUGGCAUCGGACUACUACACGGCGCACCAUGCAUCUGAAAGUGUGCAGGCACUGAUGAGCAUGACUGUCUCACCAGAGGCACCAUCACUUAAGGAGAACAUAGCUGCUGAAGGUCACAAGGAGGAGGAGGAAGACUCCUCGCAUGCCACAGAAAUCUACAAUGGUCAUCAGUCUAAUGCAGCCGAUGUGCAAAAUAUGGAAGGUAAAUCCCCGGUGAACCCUCAUGAGGAAUAUCCCUUGGCUGAGGCAGAGCAGGAGAAGUUUGAUGUGGAAGAACAAGAUCAGAGGUAUGCCGAGCCAAAAGAGCGACAGUUUCAGCGCCCUCGGCGAUCUUUUCAGAACCAGCGAGGUGGUGAUCGUGGCAGGAGGGGGGCUUACCCUAAUGGCCAUGGCAGGCAUGGAGGCGGCCGUGGCAUGGGCAGCGCAUACCAGAAUGGGCGUGGAGGAGGUGGUGGUGGUGGAUACCAAGGAGGCGGUGGUGAGUACCAGAAUGGCUGGGGUGGCGGGGGCGGGGGCGGGUACUACAACAACAACGAUGAUGGGUACUACCAGCCUAGUAACUUCAACAACAGGGGCAGGGGCGCAGGGAGGUGGCCACGCAAACACCGAGAGGGUUGA
rnacentral:rRNA from 1 species